GUCGAGCGGAGAAAAGCUUGUCUCGAUUCCGGCGGACGGGUGAGUAAUGCCAGAAUCUGCCUGAUUGGGGGACAACGUUUCAAAGGAACGCUAAUACCGCAACUCCUACGGAAAAGCAGGGACCUUCGGGCCUUGCGCUAUCAAUGACCUAGUCGGAUACUUUGGUGGGGUAAUGGCUCACCAAGGCACAUCCGUAACUGGCGAGAGGAUGAUCAUCCCUGGAACUGAGACACGGUCCAGACGGGAGGCAGCAGUGGGGAAUAUUGGACAAUGGGCGAAAGCCUGAUCCAGCCAUGCCGCGUGUGUGAAGAAGGUCUUCGGAUUGUAAAGCACUUUAAGUUGGGAGGAAGGGCAGUAAGCGAAUACCUUGCUGUUUUGACGUUACCGACAGAAUAAGCACCGGCUAACUCUGUGCCAGCAGCCGCGGUAAUACAGAGGGUGCAAGCGUUAAUCGGAAUUACUGGGCGUAAAGCGCGCGUAGGUGGUUUGUUAAGUUGAAUGUGAAAGCCCCGGGCUCAACCUGGGAACUGCAUCCAAAACUGGCAAGCUAGAGUACGGUAGAGGGUGGUGGAAUUUCCUGUGUAGCGGUGAAAUGCGUAGAUAUAGGAAGGAACACCAGUGGCGAAGCGACCACCUGGACUGAUACUGACACUGAGUGCGAAAGCGUGGGGAGCAACAGGAUAGAUACCCUGGUAGUCCACGCCGUAAACGAUGUCACUAGCCUUGGAAUCCUUGAGAUUUUAGUGGCGCAGCUACGCAUUAAGUUGACGCCUGGGGAGUACGGCCGCAAGGUUAAAACUCAAAUGAAUUGACGGGGGCCCGCACAAGCGGUGGACAUGUGGUUUAAUUCAAGCAACGCGAAACUUACCGCCUUGACUGCAAAAUUUCAUGGAUUGGUGGUCUGACCCUCAGGUCGCGCUCGCGGUCCCAGCGCCCUGGCGGGAC
rnacentral:rRNA from 1 species